rnacentral:rRNA from 1 species
UUGUGUGUUCAAGUUUUUUAGGGCAUACGGUGGAUGCCUUGGCAUCAGGAGCCGAUGAAGGACGUGGGAGCCUGCGAUAUGCCUCGGGGAGUCGGCAACCAG